GCCUUCGUGGUAUAGUGGUCAGCGCACUCGGCGUGUAUUCCAGAGGUCUGAGGUUCGAUUCCCGGCGCGGGCA
rnacentral:tRNA from 1 species